rnacentral:rRNA from 1 species
UGCAGUCGAGGGGUAUAUACUUUCGGGUAUAGAGACCGGCGCACGGGUGCGUAACGCGUAUGCAAUCUACCUUUUACAGGGGAAUAGCCCAGAGAAAUUUGGAUUAAUGCCCCAUAGUAUUAUUUGAUGGCAUCGUUAGAUAAUUAAAGUCACAACGGUAAAAGAUGAGCAUGCGUCCCAUUAGUUAGUUGGUAAGGUAACGGCUUACCAAGACUAUGAUGGGUAGGGGUCCUGAGAGGGAGAUCCCCCACACUGGUACUGAGACACGGACCAGACUCCUACGGGAGGCAGCAGUGAGGAAUAUUGGACAAUGGGCGCAAGCCUGAUCCAGCCAUGCCGCGUGCAGGAAGACGCAUCUAUGGUGUGUAAACUGCUUUUGUACAGGAAGAAACACUCCCUCGUGAGGGAGCUUGACGGUACUGUAAGAAUAAGGAUCGGCUAACUCCGUGCCAGCAGCCGCGGUAAUACGGAGGAUCCAAGCGUUAUCCGGAAUCAUUGGGUUUAAAGGGUCCGUAGGCGGUUUAAUAAGUCAGUGGUGAAAUCUGGUCGCUCAACGAUCAAACGGCCAUUGAUACUGUUAGACUUGAAUUAUAAGGAAGUAACUAGAAUAUGUAGUGUAGCGGUGAAAUGCUUAGAUAUUACAUGGAAUACCAAUUGCGAAGGCAGGUUACUACUUAUGGAUUGACGCUGAUGGACGAAAGCGUGGGGAGCGAACAGGAUUAGAUACCCUGGUAGUCCACGCCGUAAACGAUGGAUACUAGCUGUUGGGCGCAAGUUCAGUGGCUAAGCGAAAGUGAUAAGUAUCCCACCUGGGAAGUACGUUCGCAAGAAUGAAACUCAAAGGAAUUGACGGGGGCCCGCACAAGCGGUGGAGCAUGUGGUUUAAUUCGACGAUACGCGAGGAACCUUACCAAGGCUUAAAUGUAGAUUGACCGGUUUGGAAACAGAUCUUUCGCAAGACAAUUUACAAGGUGCUGCAUGGUUGUCGUCAGCUCGUGCCGUGAGGUGUCAGGUUAAGUCCUAUAACGAGCGCAACCCC